rnacentral:rRNA from 1 species
AGAGUUUGAUCCUGGCUCAGGAUCAACGCUGGCGGCGUGCCUAAUGCAUGCAAGUCGAACGUCCGCUCUUCGGAGCGGGAGUGGCGAACGGCUGAGGAACACGUGCGUGACCUGCCCUCCUGUGGGGAAUACCGGCUGGAAACAGCCGACAAGACCGCAUACGCUCACCGAGCAGUUCGGUGAGGAAAGUCUUCGGACGCGGGAGGAGGGGCGCGCGGCCCAUCAGGUAGUUGGCGGGGUAAUGGCCCACCAAGCCCGUGACGGGUCGCUGGUCUGCGAGGACGGCCAGCCAGACUGGGACUGCGACACGGCCCAGACACCUACGGGUGGCAGCAGCAAGGAAUCUUCCCCAAUGGAGGCAACUCUGAGGGAGCAACGCCGCGUGGAGGAUGACGGCCUUCGGGUUGUAAACUCCUUUUCGGUGGGAUGAUACGGACAGUACCACCGGAAUAAGCCCCGGCUAACUCUGUGCCAGCAGCCGCGGUAAGACAGAGGGGGCAAGCGUUGUCCGGAAUUACUGGGCGUAAAGCGCGCGCAGGCGGCCGAGUAUGUGCCUGGUGACAGUCUCUCGCUCAACGAGAGGAGGCCUGGGUAAACAGCUUGGCUGGCAGCAGGGAGAGGGCAGUGGAAUWCCCGGUGGAGCGGUGAAAUGCGUAGAGAUCGGGUGGAACACCAGUGGCGAAGGCGGCUGCCUGGCCCUGAUUGGACGCUGAGGCGCGACAGCGUGGGGAGCAAACGGGAUUAGAUACCCCAGUAGUCC